UUGAACGCGUGCUUUCAAUUUGGCAAGCAACUUAUCUCUCAAAGGUAAAUAUUUCUUGUUUUCGCUGUAAUUAAUGUAUUGAUCUCUCCAUGCACAAAAAUUUGGAAGCAUUUCACUUGUCACUAAUACAACUCCAGAUGCUUCUUCAAGAACUCCCAGCCAAAGAGCCGAAGCAUUUGCAGUAAUAUCAGCAAAUCCAAAUUUGUCACCCACAAAGAAUUUCUUGUCCUUGAGCUCAUUAUCAAGAACUUUCAACAUCUCAUAAACUUCCUCUUUAGCUUUCUCUUGUUCCUCUCCUUUAAGAAGGAAACUUCUCCCAACUGCUGGCCCCUGCAAAUUAAAACGCUCCAAAUUUAAGUUUCAAUAACAAUUUUACUCAAUUCCGCGGAUAGGAAUUAAUAUACUCCUAAUAUAACAACAAUCUUCAAUUCUAAGAAAGUUGGAAUCGGUUAUAUUCCUUCACUGAUUAUAUCAUCAACUCACACUCUCAAUCCAAUAUUAUAUAAAAAUUAUGCCAUAGUUUCUACUGACAACAUACACAUAUCUAACAUAAUAUGACUAGAAAAGAAAAAGAACCUAAAAGUAAACGCACUAAUAUGACGAAAAUAUAUUUCAAAUUAAUCGGUAUAUAGCGCCGAAAAAAAUAAACCUUUUCAGCAAAAAACUUAGCCCAGAAAUGAGCUAUAGCUCGGUCAUAAGGGUCUUUGGGCAAGAUUGGAGGGCCUUCGAACGUUUCAUCGAUGUAUUCAACAAUGACCAUAGACUCACAAAUGGGCUUUCCAUUGUGAAUUAGCACUGGAAUUUUCUUGUGAAUAGGGUUAGAUUCAAGAAGCAGAGGGCUCUUGUUCUGUAGAUCUUGAUCUAUAAACUCAUAUUCAACUCCCUUCAGCUUGAGAGCCCAUUCAACUCUGUUACUAUAAGGGCUAUACCAAAGACCAAGAAUUUCACUUCUGCCAUCACACAAUUUUGGUUCUCUGUUAUUUGUUUUACUAUGAUAAGGAAUUUUUAGGCUGUUGUUUUGAUCUUUUGAACUUUAUCCUCAUUUUUAUAGAUGGAAAAAUAAAGAACUGGCUUUUCGAACAAGCAUAUGCUGCUUUUCUUCUUUGACAAGUCAGUGUUUCCAAUUUGGCACUUCCAUACUGACUGAAGACAUUUAUUAAGUGUUAAAACUUAAGUAGAAGGUUCUAUCCAACUAAUAAAGAUUUACCCAACUCAAACAGUAGAUUCAUGAACUGAGUUAUCAUAGGCUCCUUCCUUUGAGGUGCGUUCAAGUUCUAAGGUGCAGAAAAGUACAGGGAUAGGCGCUUCGCCUCACUUAGGUUGUACUUUUAAGGCCCUGUAAGUCUUGACUGUUUAUUUGGACUAUUUACGACCCUGAUGAAUAAAUUAAGGUAUUAUCAAGCGUUACACAAUGAAGGUCCUGUGCCUAAAAAUGAUAGGAACGUUUGGAAGGGGUAGAAGUGGGUUUGAGCAAGUUAUGAUUAAUUGAAACAUUUCUUUCGUAAAAAUAUAUAGCAGCCAGUGUUCGGCAUUGAAGCGCUUCAGUAACAAUUGUUGAUGGCACAAAAUAGUCUUGAGCCAUCGCAGUUGUACAAAAUCUGGUGCUGCAGCCCUCACCCCUAUAGCUAGUGUUUUAUCACGGGAAAGCGGGGCAUUAGGGUUAUAUUUUCACUACCUAAAAAUGUUAGUGUUAUAUAUUGACAUGCCAUUCGCAAGUUUGAGAGAUGAGAUCAACCCAAAUCCUUGGUGAUCCAAAAGUAAGAUUUUUAUUGAGUAAUUAAUACCUUCCUUAUACAAGAUUUAACAAUAAACUUGUGAAUCUCUCCAACUUUUUAUGGAUUGAAUAUGACCUCUUGCAAACAACAAAUCAUCAUCAGUAACCAAAAGAUGUUUCACUCAUUAUGAUAUUUGGAAUGAAAUGUAAACCUCUUUUCGUCAAUACUUCUCAGAUGCUACUGCAAUGGUGGAACCACACAACUCUUAAUGUGGUUGCCUCAUUCAUGGCUAAAAUAGUCCUUGCACUAAUCACUUGGUGCUUUAAUUUGGAGAUCCAGGUGUGCAUCUCGGUAUGGGAAUGAAGCCCCUUCAAUAAAAAGAUCAGAGUUGUUCAUUCGACCAUCUCUAGCUGACAUUGUGGGGCAGAAUUUUGGUAGUUUGAAACUGGAUAAUGAGUGGGAGAGACUGCUGUAGAGAAUAGCAGAAGAACGGUGUAGUUGGAGAGAUCUUCUAUUAGCCCAAAAUUAUUUAACUAAUAUCGGAAGAUUCAACUAAGAAGGGGAAGCUAGAAAGGUUAAAAAGAUAUUGAAAGGGAGAACUUGGAUUUGAUUUUUCGGUUGGUUAUAAAUGCUACAAAUCUAGAGUGUUCUAUGUUUUUCCACAAAGAUCCCUCAAAUAUUUAGCAGCCUAUCUAGAUCUUUCCUAAAACAAAUAUCAAAUAACUAUAUUAUCCUUUUCUAGAUUAUUCAACCUAGAAUUAAUUAGAAUAUCUAGAUAUUUCUUCAAUAUGAUUAUUCUAGAAAUUACACUAGAUAUUCUAGAAACCUUACUAGAAAACUAUGAAUCCAAAAAAUCUACCUUAAUAUUUUCACAACCGCAUAGUCUAAUUGAACAUCUACUUACAUAUAAAUUCAUCAAAGUAGUAAAAAAGGACUAAACCUCCUCCAUUGUUUUGCAAGGUAGCUGUCAAGAAGUAAACUGUGGAGCAGGGGAAGUAUACAGCAAGGGCAAAUUCAUUAUGUCCUAUUUUGUAUAUCUAGAUCAAGGUAUGAGCAAUUGGGCUGAGACUCGGACGAUGUUGAUUGUAAUCAAACAGUGAAGCACAAGGCCUCUACAAAAUAAUAAUUGAAGUUGACCCAAAGUUGCUCGCCUCCGACAUUGGAGGGGAUAUGACCACACCAUGGAGGAUGCUAUAACAAAUAGAGGAGACAAUUUGACAACAUAGGGCUAACUAUAAAUAACAGAUUAUCUUUACAAGCUGUGAAGGUUUGGCAAGAAAGGUUAGAGGUCUUCUUCAACUGAACAGAUGGGAGCUUUCUUCCUUUAGGAUCAGACAACUCAAGUCGGCUUAAAUUCAGUUUGAACCUUCGUGAGGAUCAGAUCUAAAGUUUCUCAUUUUUCUUUUCCUUUUGCAAAUACUUUAUAAUACAUGAAUAUCAGGAGUGGUUUGCUUCUCUCUCAAAAU
rnacentral:lncRNA from 1 species